rfam:Danio rerio chromosome 4, GRCz11 reference primary assembly.
CCUUAUGGCCAUACCACCCUGGCAAUACCCGAUCUCAUCUGAACUCGGAAGUAAAGCGGGGUUGGGCCUGGUUAGUACUUGGAUGGGAGACCGCCUGGGAAUAUCAGGUGCUGUAAGCU